rnacentral:lncRNA from 7 species
GUGUGUGAGGGCCUGGGUGGCCUGUUUGCUUUCCAGUAUUUUUCUUGUCCUUGUUCCAGUUCAAGCUGCUGAGGCAUGGGUUGCUGGUUUUACUGCACCUUUUCAUUCCCUCAGGGUGGGAAGAAACCAGGAGGAUGGGGACAAGUGGCUGAGAGAGCUUUGCAAGGAGCAACUGCAUGUGAGGAGGAGUCUUGCUUGGCAACAGGAAUGGAUUCAGACGGUAAUAAGAGCCCAGAGCCAUUGCAGCUUCUCAAAGCCUCAUGCAGGCUCCUUCUCCUGUCACUUCUUGCUUAUGGUGCUUUUGAUCACGCUUCCAAGCCAGUGGCCGCUCUUCUGCCUCAGAGCCUGUCAUCCUGCUGCCUGCUAAAAGCUGGCAUCGGCUCCCAUCUCACUGCAGCAUCUGGAGACCAAACACUAAGAAAUCCUGCCUUCAUCUGCUCUUGGCAACCAGGUCUUGCCAGUGACUGUGACUUAGUCGAGGAAUAAGCAUUGAAAUGUGAGAGACUGAGCAGCGAUGGCAUCAUUCAACUUUUUUUUUUUUUCCUGGAAGUUCACUGUGCUUCUUAAGUUCAGGGCAUAAAUAUGAGGCUAUAGCCUCUAUAGCCUACUCUAUAGUUGGCUCUAUAGCCAACUGUCUCAGCUGAUUCCCCCCCAGCCCCUUUUCACACUGGGUUCUCAAUAUCGUUGUUAAGAAUGAAAAAGGUAACUUACUUCCCUAG